AUUGUGAUGUAAAGUUGCUACGGUGAAGUUUUAGCUCAAUGGGGCUACGACUGGUUAGCACAUGUGCUUCACAGUUCUGAGGAGCCAGGUUCAAAUCCGGCCUUGCCUGUGUGGAGUUUGCACGUUAUCCACGUGCCUGCGUGGGUUUUCUCCAGGUUUCAAAUGAUGUGGCGGCCCUGUGGACCUUGUGUUUGACACCAGUGAUCUGUGUCUUCCCAGUGCAGGACCCACUUGGCUGCUGAGUGAAGGCCCACAUCCGAAAUGCCUGCCACUGGGUCGCAGGCGUGCCGGAGCCCAUCCCAGCUAUCUUGGGGCGAGAGGACCCAGGGAGUCCCAAUGCGAGGGGCAAGGGCACCGGAACAAUCUCCACUCAAGCGGGUGAAUGAAACCACAAAACAUGUCCAUGCCAACAUCGAGACAGCCAACAAGGCAAACGCCCGGCCGCACCACCACACUGACGGUACCCAACGCCCACUCCAGUCCCCAAACCAAUUGAUUGGAGGCCCAUCGCAAAUGAUGAGGGAGGCAGCGGUUAGUGCAGAGGCUCUGCUGGUUCAUGGCAAAGUCAACACCAUAAAAUCCCUUUAAACCCUCACAUUGCUCACCACAGAGCAGCAUGCCGACACCAUGCCAAGCCUCAGCCCGGAUAUCAAAUUGUGUGUGUGUGUGCAUGAUAUGUCUGUGGGUAAUGAAGCUCAUUUCUGAUCCACGGGAUUUGAUUUAAGUAUGUUUUGCAUUUUACAUUGCAUGAACAGGUCACUGUAAAUUGGCCACAACAUUGCAUACAUCACAACAGCUUGACAAUAUAAA